CCAAAAUUGGCCAGAGUUCUCAGGUACCUACCCUGAAAUGAUCUGAGGACAGGAUCCCAAACUAAAUCUGUCUGUGGAGGUAGCCACAAAGUUUUGGCAAACAAGAUCAGCCAGCUGUGUGGCAUCCAGGGCAGCAUUUAUAGCACAGGCAGUUUGUAUGUGGUCUUGGAGAGUAGCUACAUUUGUCUUUAUGGUGUCUGGGAGGCCACAAAUAAGGGGGAGUUAAGCUUGCCGGAUCAAUCAGGGCUAGCUUUAGGGAUCUCCGUAACAGAUCCUUCUCCUGCAUCGCUUGUAUGCAGGCUGGUUUUUGAAGAGAUGCAGCCAAAUCGGAGAACCCCGAGGUCUUCAUGACAAGGGAUUCUCCUCUUUCUUGUGGGUCUAUUCCACUGACCCGAUAGGCAGCUAAAAUGAAUCUAUGCCACUAAUCCAAUAGGCAGUUAAUACGUUUAUUUAAGGUAUAAAUGCUAUCGCAGGUAUUCCUCACCAAAGUGAAGGUGAAGGUGCAGAGCUUACCAAGGAGGUGUCCCUGUCUUGGUGGAGAAGGAGCACAGAACAUCGACUGCCUCUUCUAGGGUUGGGAACGUACACCGAUGGACACAAACGAAUUAGAG